AAGAAAGAGAAAAAAAGAUAAUAACAAAUGAAAAUAUAAUUGAACCAGUUCGGUUUAUUUUUGUGGCUGCGACCCUUUCUCCUCCACUGAUUCGUCUACUUGAAAAGGACUUUCCUUCUUCUCUCAAGUUGA
rnacentral:ribozyme from 13 species